GGCAACGUGGCCGAGUGGUUAUGGCGGUAGACUCAAGUCAACGACUUAGCAGCUGAUUACAACAGCUGCCAGCAUUCUACUGGAGCAAUCCGCAUGGGUUCGAGUCCCAUCGUUGUCA